rnacentral:rRNA from 1 species
AAAAACAUGGCUUUUUGAAUAUGAUUUAAAGUCAAGCCUGCCCUAUGAAUUUUUAUUUAAAUGGCUGCAGUAUCCUGACUGUGCAAAGGUAGCAUAAUAAUUAGUUUUUUAAUUGAAAGCUGGUAUGAAAGGUUAGAUGAGAAAAUAGCUGUCUCUGUAAAAUUUUUGUUGAAUUUUAUUUUUAAGUUAAAAAGCUUAAAUUUUUGUAAAAGACGAGAAGACCCUAUAGAGUUUUAUAUUUAUAAAAAUUAGAUCUUUUAGUAUUUAAAAAUUUAUUUUUUAAGAAUAUUUGGUUGGGGUGAUUGGAAAAUUUAUAAAACUUUUCUUUUAUAUAAACAUUUAUUUAUGGUUAGAUGAUCUGUUUAUUAAGAUUAAAAGAUAAAAUUACCUUAGGGAUAACAGCGUAAUUUUUUUUGAGAGUUCUUAUCGAAAGAAAAGAUUGCGACCUCGAUGUUGGAUUAAAAUAAAUUUUUGGUGUAGCCGCUAAAAUAAUUAGGUCUGUUCGACCUUUAAAAUUUUACUUGAUCUGAGUU